rnacentral:rRNA from 1 species
CCUACGGGUGGCUGCAGUGGGGAAUAUUGGACAAUGUGCGCAAGCCUGAUCCAGCAAUGCCGCGUGUGUGAAGAAGGCCUGCGGGUUGUAAAGCACUUUGAGUGGGGAAGAAGGCCUGGGGGUUAAUAGCUUCUGGGAUUGACGUUACCCACAGAACAAGCACCGGCUAACUCCGUGCCAGCAGCCGCGGUAAUACGGAGGGUGCGAGCGGGAAUCGGAAUUACUGGGCGUAAAGCGCGCGUACGGGUGUGAAAGCCCUGGGCUUAACCUGGGAACUGCAUUGGAUACUGUUUGACUGGAGUGUGGUAGAGGGGUGUGGAAUUUCCGGUGUAGCAGUGAAAUGCGUAGAGAUCGGAAGGAACACCAGUGGCGAAGGCGGCACCCUGGACCGACACUGACGCUGAGGUGCGAAAGCGUGGGGAGCAAACAGGAUUAGAUACCCUAGUAGUC